UUUCCGUAGGUGAACCUGCGGAAGGAUCAUUACUGAGUGAGGGCCCCUCGGGGUCCAACCUCCCACCCGUGUUUACCGAACCUUGUUGCUUCUGCGGGCCCGCCUCACGGCCGCCCGGGGUCAUUUCCCCCGGGCACGCGCCCUCCGAAGCCACCUGUGAACGCUGUCUGAAUUUACCAGUCUGAGACAAUUAUUAAACGAAUUAAAACUUUCAACAACGGAUCUCUUGGUUCCG
rnacentral:misc_RNA from 1 species